rnacentral:rRNA from 1 species
GAUGAACGCUGGCGGCGUGCCUAAUACAUGCAAGUCGAGCGAACAGACGAGGAGCUUGCUCCUCUGACGUUAGCGGCGGACGGGUGAGUAACACGUGGAUAACCUACCUAUAAGACUGGGAUAACUUCGGGAAACCGGAGCUAAUACCGGAUAAUAUGUUGAAUCGCAUGGUUCAACAGUGAAAGACGGUCUUGCUGUCACUUAUAGAUGGAUCCGCGCCGCAUUAGCUAGUUGGUAAGGUAACGGCUUACCAAGGCAACGAUGCGUAGCCGACCUGAGAGGGUGAUCGGCCACACUGGAACUGAGACACGGUCCAGACUCCUACGGGAGGCAGCAGUAGGGAAUCUUCCGCAAAGGGCGAAAGCCUGACGGAGCAACGCCGCGUGAGUGAAGAAGGUCUUCGGAUCGUAAAACUCUGUUAUUAGGGAAGAACAAAUGUGUAAGUAACUACGCACGUCUUGACGGUACCUAAUCAGAAAGCCACGGCUAACUACGUG